UCCCUGAUGGUCCAGUGGUUAAGACAUCAAGCUCCCAAUGCAGGGGCCCCAGGUUCGAUCCCUGGUCAGGGAA